UACGGAGGGAGCUAGCGUUGUUCGGAAUUACUGGGCGUAAAGCGCGCGUAGGCGGCUUUGUAAGUUAGAGGUGAAAAGCCCGGGGCUCAACCCCGGAAUUGCCUUUAAGACUGCAUCGCUUGAAUCCGGGAGAGGUGAGUGGAAUUCCGAGUGUAGAGGUGAAAUUCGUAGAUAUUCGGAAGAACACCAGUGGCGAAGGCGGCUCACUGGACCGGCAUUGACGCUGAGGUGCGAAAGCGUGGGGAGCAAACAGG
rnacentral:rRNA from 1 species